GUGUCAGCAGCCGCGGUAAUACAGAGGGUGCAAGCGUUGUUCGGAAUUAUUGGGCGUAAAGCGCGUGUAGGCGGCUUUGUAAGUCAGGUGUGAAAGCCCUCGGCUUAACCGAGGAAGUGCGCCUGAAACUGCAGAGCUUGAGUGCCGGAGAGGGCGGUGGAAUUCCCGGUGUAGAGGUGAAAUUCGUAGAUAUCGGGAGGAACACCAGCGGCGAAGGCGACCGCCUGGACGGUAACUGACGCUGAGACGCGAAAGCGUGGGGAGCAAACAGGAUUAGAUACCCCUGUAGUCC
rnacentral:rRNA from 1 species